UUUCACAUACUCAAUUCUAUCUCAUAAUCUAUGGGAACAAACUGAAUUAAAAGUUGUUUAUUCAUAAAUAAGUUAGAUGCUUGUUCACCAAUAAGGUCUUUAUACUUUAUAGGGUAAUUUGUUUUUCCAUCUAUUUCAGAUAUAACAUGGCGAAGUAGUAGCUAACACAUGUGAAGUAAACAAUCAGAUUGUAGACUAUCUACUAAAAGAAGGCUACGUUUAAAAGGCUUUUCUAAUUUUACAGCAGUUUUAAAUUAUCUAGACCAGUGUUAGCACAUGUAUUGUCACGAACAAUCGCUUCUAAGUUUAAUAAAUGUUUAACAAAGGACACGAAGGCCACUAACACUGAGUAUACAUUAACAAAUUUUUUUACUGAAAUGUUAAAUUGUAUCAAGUGCUGGACAAGUUAGAACAAAAUUGUAUUAACUUGAACAGAGCAGUAUAGCAAGACAUUUCUUAAACAUCAAGACAGACGAUGCAGUGAUCAUCAGUGAUGGAGUGAAAUAUUUGUAUUAGGAUGCGAAGAAAUUACAAAGGAAUAUCAAGUCAGUUAGAGCCUAAUGCUCAUGCAAUUAAAGCUGCUAUGGCAACCCUUUGAAUCUGAUAGUUAUUCACUCUGAGCAAUAUAUAGCAGUAUAAUAUUUUAAAUCAAAUUAACUGCGGAAAAUGAGUUUCAAUAAACUGGUCACUUUGCUUAUUAUUCGACAAACAACCUUUGUCACCUUAUAAAAGCAGGAGGAAAAAUGUUAGAGAAAAUACAAAAAAUGUUAUGGUCAGAAUUAUGGAGCAUCAUGUGAAGCCUAGGUUCAAUAUGAAAAGCAAAAUUUGUGGUGAUAUAAAGAAGGUAUCGUUCGAAGAUAAAAAGUUGUGUAAAGCAAUA
rnacentral:lncRNA from 1 species